AUAUAAAAACAGAAAUCGCAAAUUAGAAGGUAAAGAUAUGUGAUAAU
rnacentral:guide_RNA from 1 species